ensembl:lncRNA
AUUAAAAUCUCAGCUAGUCCUUCAAAUCUUCUUCAUCUGAGAGCUUCCAGCUCCUCAUCAGAUCCAUGUGACACAGCAGACCUGCAGCGGGAGCACGCCUCUUUAUUUUCCAGGCCGCUGACGCUCCCUGAGUCACUGAGGAUGAGGAAGGAGAGGAAGAGCGGUGCAGGGACAGACGGGCUCGAGGCACAUCGACAGCUCUGCAGCUCCACGUUUGUUCCUGAACAUGUUCACUCUGCUGGUCUCCUGUCACGUUUGGUUCCUGCUCUCAGGUCUGAUCGGCUGCACGGAAAACUCCACAGCGAUCUGGUUUUCAGUCCCUGAGAAUCACCACGUCUGUCUGCCCUGCGGCAGCUCUGGCAGCUCCGACGUGAUCUGGACUCUGCAGGAUCAGGAGGUCCUGGUGACCCGACGAGGCGGCUACAAGACCAACAAGGACCGCCAGCGCUACCUCCUCAUGGUUAAUGGCAGCCUCUGCAUCCUGCAUCUGGAGGAGUCGGAUCAUGGAGGAUACCGCUGUAACCAGCAGCUGGUGGCUGAGCUGCAGGUGCUGACAGGUCGGGACUACACGGUGUCCGCAGGCCGGACGCUGCUGCUCCCCUGCAGCGGCUCCUCCAAACCCAAACAGAGGUGGUUCCAGCAGAGGGAGGGCGAGAGGCGGGAGGCCGUCCUCACCAAGUACAGAAACGGUACGGUGAAACCAGAGAGGGGCGGCGGCCGGCUGAGCUUCACCAAUGACGCCCUGCAGAUCCAGGACCUGCAGCCAGAGGACGCUGGAGAGUACGUCUGCAACGGGGUGCUGCAGGCCAGAGUCACGGUCCUCACAGCACACGCAGAGACGAGCAGCCAGCCUCCGUCCACCAGCACAACUCCAUCACCUGCAGUCGUGACAGCAGAAGUGGAAGAAAUAAAGAAGAAGAGCAACACGAGACCUGAGAACGUUCUGCUGCUGGUUGCUGUCGUCAGUGUGGGCUUGAUGAUCAUCUUCUUAGCUGCUGUCUGUGUGUUGCUGACCAGCAUGAAGUGCAGGAGGAAGAAACGCAGAGCUGCAGGUGAACGUUUGUGUUUCGUUUCAUUUUAACUGGAAACGUUUGGAUUUAAGUUCCUGGGUUUAAAUAAUCGGCCAACACAGCUCAGGGUGUGUGCAGGUGGAUGCUGUUAGAAGUAUUCCUGCCUGAGACUAUGACACUCUGCGCCACCUUCUGGCACAGCCUGGUACUACACAGAGUGCGGCUGUUUCCUCUCAUUUAGUUUGAGUGAAUUCAGUGAAAGAGUAAAUGAUUCUAAAUGUUGUGAUAAAAAAAGAAGAAACUAUGAUUUUGGGGACAUGAGAAAGUUUUUAUCAUCAAAGGUUUUUUUAAUGAAUUCAUUCAUUUAUUUAUGUUGAAUAUUUGAUUAAAAAUAUUUAUAUUUGAAAUCUUCAGAUUAUUCACCUUCACUGCUUCACAGUUUUUCAUACUGAACUUUUUUCAUGUAUCAUUAUCUGUAUUUUUAAUUAUUAUUUAUUAUUCAGUGAAAAGUCGACAUGUUUAUUAUAUUUAAUGCAGUUUGAAGCGUGUUGGCUGAUUCAUUUAUGUUUAAAAGGAUUUUAUUGAUGAGAGCUGACUGAUUCUUUUUUGCAGCUUCAGAUAAACAAAGCUGUGUUUGUCUUUAAAACAUGAAUCAGCACAUGUAAAAAUAUGGAUGUUGCUAUGAUAAUCCAAAAGGAUCCAGUAUUAGACUCAGCAUGUUUUCUGAAGAUCCUGUGCUCUUCAUCUCUUCAUCACCACCUCUGCGUGUAGCAGCACCGACACGUGACGACACGGAGCUGCAGCCGUGGACGACGUCCAGCGCACCGACAGGUAACCUCACCAGGUGUUCGAUGUCCUCACAUCAGUCUAUGAAGGAUUAAAAAGGUGUGUCUGUCUGCAGAGGGUGAGGACUUAGAGACCCCGCCCCUCUGUGGGGAGACGAUCCACUACGCCUCUCUGGGCCGACAGAACUGGAGGGAGAGACCCAGCAGGAGUCCGCCGGAGCAGAGCCACCACAGCGUCAUCUACUCCUCCGUCAUCAGCAGACCUGCAGCGAGAGCUGAGCACAAACUCUGAAAGCUAAAGUCUGAAUGUACAGUCGUGUGACGGGAAGCUUUAAAAUCACAUCCCUGUGUGAAAGUGCAGCUUAGUUUCACUUUGGCCAAAAUACACCUGUAACACAAGCUGUUAAACUCCUGUCAGUCAGUUUGGUUUUCAUGUUUCACUUUCACUGUCUGCUUCAGGCAGCAGAGCUGGUUUCACAGAGACUUUACAUGUUACACCGAGGAGUCGUUUACACAUGUGGAGUGUCACAUCUGGACAGGCUGCCGUCUUUAUAAACAGAGGUCAGGACAGAUCGUGGUGUCAGAAUCAGUUUAUUAGUAAAAGACAAGCAAAGUGUGGAAUCUGUUCAUGGAAGCAGAGGAUGUCACACAGACUCAGAGCAGCACAGCAGACAGAUGUUUAAACACAGCAAGAAAACAAACUCACAGACAUGAAGAUUAAAAACUGACCCGAGGAAACUAUUCACACAUUUAUGGGUAAAUAUAGAUUUUCUUUAGUUCAGUAAUUGUUUUUUGAAAGUCUCCCUGCUGUGGCAGCAUUUACAUUUAUGGCUGUUACUUUAUUAUUAACAGGAAUGUUUUACAAACAUUUUAUUUUCAUUGCAACUUUCUGGAUAUUUAACAUUUAAAGGUUCUUAAACUCUCUGUUUUUCUGCUCACUGAAAAAUAAAUCUUCACUGUUUACACAAAAAACACAAAAAAAUAAACUAAAAUCUAGAUUUUGAAAUCUACUAAUCAAACAUUUUCACAGUUUUAUUAAUUUAAAAAAAUCAUUUACGCUCAUUUAAAGUGCUUCUAUCUGUGGUGAUGUGAUGCCUUUGAGUUCUUGCACGUGUUCACUGUUGAGUACAGGACCUUCUCUUCAGCCAAUCCGGUUCCUCUCCUGGUGGUGGGGCGGGGCUUGUCUGGAUGCUUCAGGCUGGAAUAAUGCAAAGACUCUUCCUGCAGAGAUACAAAGAGUAAAAAAUCUGAUUAAACUGCAGGUUUGCUGCCAAACUAACAUGAUGCUGUGAGGUCACUGCAUUUGGUUUCCCUGCACUUCGUCGUGCUCAGCACAGACCUGUGAAUCCUCUUCAGUUCAGCCUGUGCUGAAUAAAAAAGCUGCCAAAUAUUUAUGUACAUGUUUCAGUGACAUCACCUUUUCCUAUUUUACUGGCAAAACAUAAAGAAAUGAGGGUUGGCUCAAGACUUUUGCACAGUGCUGCGUGUGGAGCUUGUUUUUAGACUGCAGUAAUAAAACAGAAUAAAUGUUUGAAACUCACAGACUGAGAGAUUCACUCAUUUUAAUUAUUUGCUCGUAAAGUAGGAAACAUGAUUUUUAAAGACUGUUCGUGACCUUCCACUGACCUCUGUGACCCGGUGAUCGGCGUCCCGUCUCCGUGGGUUACAGCAGGAGCAAACAGGUUUACCUGCAGAAGAAACGAGACGUGGGACAGGUGAGGAAGACGAAGCUGACUCAGAGCGAGCGAUGUGACCGUGAGGACGUCAGAACAUGUGAUUGGCCCUGAUGUACGCCUACAUCAGAGCUCAGCACAGGCAGCAGCAUAAUUAACUCAUUAUUGAAUCAAUGAAGGGAUUUUAUCCUGUUCCACUUGUGUCACACAUGACCAGCUCCUGUAUUUUGAUUGGCUCCGGUUUAUCAAAUCGAACCAAGUGACUCCCUACUGACACCUACAGGUGACCCGCAGAGGUGACAGAGUUACAUGCGGGACUUCAUCCUCCAGCAUGACCCCCACCGUCAGCCUGUACUGUGCCAAAAUAAGACUCAACACAAGGGGGCGCUGUAGCUGCCUCCACAGCAAACAAUGACUUUUUGUCAUGAUAACGGAGAUAGAGAUAACUCUUUAUUACUAUGACAAUACAACAACUCAUGAUGAUGAGUUUCAGUGUAUACCCCCUCCAUCCUAAAACGAAAAAGGUGUGUUUGCCUUCAGUGAAACUGUAUGUUAAGCCCCGCCCCCGGCUGUGUGUAAGUGAAAGCGAAAGUUUGGGGAGCUGUCCGAGGGGCAGACGUCGAGCUUCUCUUCCGUCUCUGCUCGUUUUUCAGCUCGGUUCCGACCUUUGUGUCCUCAGAGGGGGGCAGAUAUUUGUCCUGUGAAGCCGGAGGACCCCGCCUGCUGUCCCGCCGUCCUCUCAGCAGCAGCAUGCCGGACGUCAGGCUGUGCCUGGAGGCCGUCUCUGCGCUCCUGGGCUGCAGAGCCGAAGCGACCACCGGAAGCUCCCAGUUCACCCCGCAGGAUCUAGUCAACGUCGUGGCCCUCAAAGAGUUUUACAAGCAGGAGGGCUUUAAAGAGCUGGAGUACCCCAGCUUGGGGACGCUGUCUCUGCACGAGUUAGACGAAGCCGACAUGUACAGCUCCCCCCCGGCCCUGGAGGCGCCUCCGGAGAGAUCCCAGCUCACUGUGGAAAUCAACACGGAGAACUUCUUCCAUCCUCAGUACGACUACGACUUCACCAACGUCAAGGAUGGAGAUAAGAAGUUCACGCGUGGUAACGAGCAGUACAUCCGCCCCUGCGGGUGGAACCGCGUUGCCCUGCGGGUCGUGCAGAAGUACAGCGACGGGGACAAGUGGCUGGGGACGGGGCGGGACGCCUGGCCCGUUUCCUACCAGGGGAAAAACAUGGACGGCUCCCUCAUCCUGACCCAUGGCGGCAAGCCCGACGACCAGCCACAGUUUCUGGACGCCGCCGCGGCGUCUUUGUUAACGGAGGGGACGAAGGGCCGGGGGGUGUACUCCACACCGGACAUCAGGAUCGCAGAGAAGUACUGCAAGAAGUUCAAGUCCGGAGUGGACGGGAAGACGUACCAGGUGGUCCUCCAGAACCGCAUAAACCCGGAAAAAAGGAAGUCGUGCCAGAGGCAAGGCGUCUGGGUUGUGUACAUCCCCGAGGACAGCAGCGACGUGAGGGUGAGGGCCCUCGUGCAGGAGUCCAUCCGCCCGUACGGGCUGCUGCUGAAGCAGGUGUGAUGCAGCUGUAACGACCUGCCGUCACUUCAGCUUCACGAUUUUCACAUUGUUAACAAAAAACUGAGAACAUGCUUCAAGUUCCCACGCGUGGGACUAAUAAAGGUAUCUUAUCUUAUCUUAUGCUUACUCCGGGCUCGUGGGAGGACGAGCUCCUGAAAGCUCUUUAUUGGGAGGGUGUGGGAACAAUAAGCCAGAGGUCACAGUAUCGUCUCUUUAUCCUCACAGUUUAAUAAAAAUACGACUGUCUGAUCAAACCUCUCUGAUCCGCGCUGCCUUUGAGUCUCCUCACAGCUCCGAAAAUUCCACCAAUCACAACGUUAGAUCCAAACCACCAAUAAAUAAUCCAUCAUAUCAAACACAGGAGGCGGGAAACGUGCAGCUAGGUUAGCGGCGUCCUGCCUCACGCUGGGAUCCUUUCGCUCGGUGUCAGGGUUGGAGAUAGUGAGGCCGGGUCAGAGGGGCAGACACCUGUCAGUCACAGGUGAGCGCACACGCCGGCUUUAAGAUUUUACUAAUUAAACUUCAUGUUGUUAUUUCAAUAAGACUUGAGACUAAUGAGCUCAGAAUAAAUUGCUUGCUGCGGUCUAAGAUACGAUAGAUCCUUUUGUCACUGUUACCAGUUUACGACACCAACUGUCUGCCAUCUAUAAUCCAGUUUUGAGUUCCCUCCCCAGACGCCUUAACGCCCACUCACAUCCUGGGCCAUCUGACCUCAGGAAAUCACAUGAUAGGGUGGGGCCAGAUUUCACAAUGAGCUCACCCGAAACCCUGGCUGAUUGUGACCCACACCCGCUUUCACACCUUAGCUCAGGUGAUUAGAGGAUCACCAGGGGGUCCUUUGUCCCUCUUUGGGGGGAAACUCCCACUGGGUUUAAAUCUGGGACUCUCGGCCAUUUGACCUUAGAACUGAAGAAGCUUCUCGGGUGAGAGGUGAAACGUCUUCAAGCAACUUAAAGAAGUCCAGACGCUUUUCUUUCCAAGCUGCUUUGACUGGUCCCAGCAUCGAUUGCAGGUUUCAUUUUUCGGACCUCAGAGCUACAUCCAGGUGUGUUUCCAGUGUAGGCUGAGGGUCGUCUGCAGAGACGCUGAAACUGCUGAUAAUGAGUGGCAUUAGUUUGAAUUCUCGUCCUGUUUUCCUUCCUGUCUGAUCAGCAGCACUGGAUCCACUCUUUUAUUUGAUGUGUCAGAGAUGGAGAUGAUUUUGCUUUAGUGUUGUUCUUAUUUCAUGUAUCUGAAAAUGUUGCUGUGAGGUGUGACGCCACAGGUCUGAUGUUUUUCAUGGCAUCAUUUUAAAUGUAAGAAUGGAAAUGAUAAAGAAUCACUUAUAUUUAGCUUGUUUGGGGUCUCCACGCUGCCAUCAGCUGUGAGAACAGAUGUUUUCCUUGUAUAUGUGAAUUUGAUUUGUUUGAAUGGAAUUAAACUGAGAGUGCACUCAUCUGUGUGUGAAGCCUCGUUUUAUGAUAUUUAUAAAUCUGAAAACCAGGGGUGUCAAACAUAAGGGCUGGGGGCCAGAAUCGGCCUGGCAAAGACGCCAGUCCGGAAACGUGAAGAAUGAUUAACUGAAUUUGAAUAAGUUUAACAGCUUUUCCUUUAAAUAAAGAGACCCGCACUCAUGCAUGGAUCCUUCCAGAACACAAAGGUCCUUCACAGUGUUUGUUUGAUUGAGCUGGUAAAACCUGUUCAUGCAGGACGCUGUCACCACGAUCACACACACCUGACCUACAGACCUGCCACACAUUGUUUCAGUUUUUAUUUUUAAGCUUCAGUUAAGUUUCAUUUUGCAGGAUUUGUUAUUAGCUUUCCAUCUGCAUCAUAAUCUGAACCACAGUGACGGUGUUAGCGUGAUAUUUAAAAACACUACAUUUGUGUCAGUACUGCAAACACCUGUGUAAGCAUCGUGUUUGUCAGUUGACUUCACAGACUCGUGUCCCGAGUUUAAUUUAACAAACAUACAAUAAACAAUAAACCUGUAAUAUUAAUAUACUCACCUUUGAACAUAGACAGGAAGUUAGACUCACGUCACAUUAUGAAUGAAGGCGCUUCAUUACCACACGCUGUUGAUAUGUUUGUUCAUUACCUGCAGAUUCAGUGUGAACGGUUUUAUGGGCAGAGUGCUGUAACUCCUGCCCACCACCAGAGGGCAGCGCAGCUCCAAGUAAAAGUACAACAAUCCCACCUGAACUUUCACCUCAGAUAAACUGAGCUUGACAAACGUGCCACAGCUGAGCUGAGGAAGCAUUACAGGAUACAUGAAACACACCUGACCACAGGUAGCAUCCAGCCACGCAGACGAAGCAGAGGGCGAGCAGCGCCGGGAGAAGGCAGAGCCCCAGACUCAAACACGGCUGCCUCAUCCGGUCUGUGGACGACCGCCCGGCACCUCCUGCAAACACACAAUCACACACACACCAUCAUUUAUUCCCUGAUCCUGCUUCUUUUCACAUCGUUGUGCCAACUGUAUAAACCCACACACCGUCUCACUGUGUGGGUUUGAAAGGUUUCACACUGAUUACAGGAAACUCAUAACUGGAGGAAAAAUGAGCUGUGGCGGUGCCAUGGGGGCGGAGACUCGUCUUUAAAGGUCAGCGGGAAAUCCUAAAAAGGCCUUGGUGGUAUUUCUCAGAACUUUAAAGUCCUCCUGGUGCUGUGAUAAAACAAACCACGAGUGACAGUCAGCUGAGCGCCCGGCUAUCAAGAGAAAAUACAUUAAAAUAUAUCAAACUAAAAACCAUUAAAUACAUAAAAACUAUCAGAUCAAUACAACAAAAAUAGAAUAUAAUAUGUAGUUUUAUUUCACAGUAUAUCCUGAUGUGACAUCUCAUUGCAGUUUCUUUCACACCUUUGUUCCAAUGACACAAACUCUUAUAAUAUUUAUGGAGAUAUUAAAGGUGUCAGCACGCACACGGAAACCUUCACGUGUUCAUGUUCAGCUGCUCGGCUGCAGACACGUGGACUCAUGGUGUGAAGAUUCAGGGGGGGUGACUCAAACCCUCGAUGCUGUCCUGCCUCUUCACCCCACUCGUUUUUCCACACGUGUGUGACGUGUAGCAUGUUUGUCACAAAAUGUCAGUUCAUGAGACGCAGAGAGCCCUGACCCCGGGGGCCCCGGGGGCCCUGAGGGGAACGCUGCCUCCGUUCUGCUGUGGGGGGCAGCUUGCUGUCCCAUCAGCUGAUAGACAACACAAAAAUCCUAAAACAGAAAUCCUACUGCUCCUCUGCAUCAAACAUCAAGUUUUCUUCUGAUCCACGCGCCAAAAAACUCCUUCAGUUUGUUCAGUUCAAGUAAAAUCGGUGCGUUCGUGGUCAGAAACAAGUCUGUGUUUUUGAACAUGUCAACAUUUCGACUUUUAGCCACAGGAACGGUCCCUAUGGGCAGAAAUCUGUGCCAUCAGAAACUGAAUUUGAAUAAGUUAAAUUUGAAUUUGAAUUACUCGGAUUGAAUCUGAAUUGUAACUUGAAUGAAAGCUUUUGAAAACUGAAUUUGAAUUAGUCUAAUUUGAAAUUGAAUUUAUGGUUUGAAAAUGAAUUGAUUUGCUUUGAAACUGCAUUUUAUCCUUUAAAAAUUCAGCUCUCGAAUAAUUUCAGAUUCACUUCUCACCAUUCAGUUUCAGUUCUACAAUUCAAUUUC